UGACAGUCUGCCUGUGGUUCUAUUAUUCUAACCAUAGUAUGUAUCACCCCAGGCUUGGGUAGAACAUAAAUCUAUUAACUGGAAGUUGGACUCAUCUGUAUCCCAUUACCUUGGACUUUCAGCAAUGUCUUUGGGUGUUAAAAGGCUCUGCUGCCUUUGCUUUCACUACCGGCUUUGCAUGCGAGAUCUUCUCUCACUGUCAGUCCACAGUACUCAGCACUGGACACACUACUGAAUGAUCUACUCAGCCUCUCUUAGUUUCUUAGCUCAAAGAAGGAAAGGAGAAAAAAAAUGUCUUUUUGAUCUACUUGCUUCCAUGAGAAAUCACAGUGAGUGUAUCCUUUUACCUACAGCAGGAACCCACAGGACUGUCUUUCCCAUAACCAGAAGAAGGUCCCAUCAACUAUUUCUCGAAACCAGAGCUCAAUUUGAAUGGAAGGGAAGAGGAAAGUUCAGCUCGAUUGCUGCCUUGAAAUUGUAUCUGUUCUGGUCUCCCUCACCACCAGCCUCUUCUAGUCACUAGUCACUACUGUAAGUAGCUAGUGUAAGUGGUAAUAGCAGGAAAUGCUAUUGCAAAGGGGAACCUAUAAGUCACAUACAAACCGUUGCAAAGAUCAAAGGGGCACAAUUUACAAAUGGUAUCAUAUAUUAACCAAAAGCCACAUCCUAGUAAUAGGUGCUGAAUCAGGGGAAGCCAUCUAGGUGCUGCUGUUGGGGCCUUUUGUUGCUGUGACGUGUCAAUCUCAGACAAGCUCCAGACAUCAGUAGUAUUACUAUCCGAUCACCAAAUGGUGCUGAUAAUUUUGAGAUCACACGGACAUGUUAACUUUAUAGUUUUAAUGAGAACUUUGACAUGAUUUGGACGUGUUAAUGAACUAACCCCAAGGUGGCACAGAUAAGAGUUAGUAUGUUCCCCCAAAUCCUAUAAAAACCAAGUCUCAGACUUCUGCUCCCAAUCACUCUUCCAUCUCCAUCUGGUCCAUGUUGCUGAGAGCUCCCAACUCUAAUUCACGGUUACAUGAGUGACACUCUCUGCCUCUCUCCCUCCCCAUCCUCUUCCACCAGAUGCCUGCCUUCCUUCACCAUCCCAUCCCCUGUCCACACGCCGUCUGCAUUUGGACUCCUUUUGCUGCUUGUCUAUACUUUCUGUGCUAUUUGCCCCCUCG
rnacentral:lncRNA from 1 species